UACGAAGGGUGCAAGCGUUACUCGGAAUUACUGGGCGUAAAGCGUGCGUAGGUGGUUUGUUAAGUCUGUUGUGAAAGCCCCGGGCUCAACCUGGGAAUGGCAAUGGAUACUGGCAGGCUAGAGUGCGGUAGAGGGUAGUGGAAUUCCCGGUGUAGCGGUGAAAUGCGUAGAGAUCGGGAGGAACACCAACGGCGAAAGCACUCUGCUGGGCCGACACUGACACUGAGAGACGAAAGCUAGGGGAGCGAAUGGG
rnacentral:rRNA from 1 species